rnacentral:lncRNA from 1 species
UGGGGACCUGCAACGUUGGCACUGUCCAGCUGCAGCCGCACAGGUCCAGGGUGGAGGCGGUUACAGGUGGCGCCCAGAGAAGGAGGCUGCGUGCCACAAGCAUGGCGGUGCUGACUUCAAUACCUCCCUGAGCCAACUUUCCUCUUCGGGUCAGCUGUAGGAGGAACGCGCUUCAGACCAUGAGCAAUGCGUUUGUUGAGUCCAGCCGUCCCUGGCCUCUAGGAUUGCCAGGGAAUCAGGGCUCUCCAGGACCCAAGGGCUCCAAAGGAGAAGUGGGACACCACCCCCCAUCCAUCACCAAGGUGGUUUCCUUUUGACUUUCUUCAGUUGGAGGCUGAAAUGAAGGGAAAGAAGGAAGAUUGAGGCCAGACCUCCUCACUGCUGGGGGACAGGCUCCUGGGGCAGAACGCUGCAAGCUUCCACCGUGCCUACAUUGAGCUCUGCAUUGAGAACAGCGUCAGGACUGCCUCCAAGUAGCUGCUGCCUGGAUGCAGGUGGCUGGAGAGAACGCCUGGUUGGAGGGAGCCCCCGCUGUGGGCAGGGAGCAGUCGGCCAGCCCCAACUCCAGGACCUGGCUGCCAUGCUUUCCUGUAUAGUUCAUGCUUCAUGUAAUCCUCCAGAAAUAAAAGGAAGCCAA